rnacentral:other from 1 species
AAAUGCCUGGGAAGUUCGCCUUUUUAAAAUAUGCGAACCGAACAAAAUGAUAUGGGAAAUCGAGGCGCGCCGGGCGUCGAAGGCUUGCUUUCAGGCAAGAAUCCCGAAGGCGCGCAAAUUAGAGAUUUCCACCGUGUGGAAUUGCUGGUUUCACAUACUAAUAACGGCUUCCUGGGUAUAGA